GCUACGAGGCUCGCAUCUAUUUGAUUUCUCGAAAAUCUGUGCCAAAAUCAGUACGAAUUCAUACCCAAGACUCACAACUAGAGCUCUCAGUGUUCAUCCACGGUUCUCAGUGUUCAUUCAUUGCCUUGAAAAGAGAACAAGCGAAACCCCAAACAUGGAGCAUGAAAAGAAAGAUGAAGAAUCGAAGAGUAACCGCUUGAACUCAAAAGUCUCCAAAGCGGAGAAAAAAAGGGUUUGCUUCCACUGAAACGAGGCAGAAUAUACCUUCAAUGGCAUCAAAGGCCAUAACAACCAGGUUCACAGAGAGUUUCAGGACUUUCACGGGAAUUUUAAGCAUAGCUGCGACACUUGCAAAAAUGUUUUUCCAAGCAAACUUGACUUGGAAAAUCACAUGUCUUGUUAUCAUGGUAACUAUUAAUGUUCUUAUAAGACAUUGGGCAAAAUCUAGAGAACAAGAAAGGAUGCAUAGUACUUGAUCAAUCUUCAAAUGUGCCCAAACAUUAGUUGAUGCUGGUUAGACAAUGCCUAGAUGUAGAAACCAUUGGGGUUCAUUAGCCACUCUAUAAAUGGUUGAUGUUGUGUGCUUAUAUUUGGUGAAGCCUAAUGCUUCCUUAGUUCCUUGGUGCUUUUUUUCUAGACUAAUAAGGCUUGUUACUGUUGGACUAACUCAAAGAUGAAUUCUGUGACUCUCCUUUGUGGGGGAAGAUUUAAGUAGCAGCUUAGACUUUGGAUUGGAGAGUUGAUCUCUGAAGUGAACUUCUUAACACAUUCUUUGAUAGUAUAUUCGCAGAGCUGAUUUUACUUUCUUUAUAGCUCAAGUUUUAAUUGUAAAUAACUUCAUUUCUCCCAUAUUUAUGU